AAGGAUUUAAGUUAACCUUAAACUAAUAGUCUUCAAAACUUUAAAUAAAGAAAAAUUAUCUUUAAGCCUUA
rnacentral:tRNA from 1 species